rnacentral:rRNA from 1 species
GCAAGAUACCACGGGCGCACGGCGGAUGCCUUGGCACAGGGAGCCGAUGAAGGACGCGGCAAGCUGCGAUAAUCCCCGGCGAGGAGCACACAUCCUUCGACCCGGGGGUCUCCGAAUGGGCGAACCCAUCCGUAGAGGUACGGAUAUCCCGGCCCUGAACGCAUAGGGGCCGGGAGGACAACCCGGGGAACUGAAACAUCUAAGUACCCGGAGGAGAGGAAAUCAAUCUCGAGACUCCCCGAGUAGCGGCGAGCGAAAGGGGACCGAUGGCCAAACCGUCGAGCGGGGAUACCCGGCAGGGGUUCCGCCGGCGGGCGCAGGUCCGGCUGGGGAGCGGAACGGCAUGGGAGGGCCGGCCGCAGCGGGUGACAGCCCCGUACGCGAACCCAGACCGGACGGCGCGACGCGGUCCCUGAGUAGGGCCGGGCACGUGAAACCCGGUCCGAACCUGGGUGGACCACCAUCCAAGCCUGAGUACUACCCUGUGACCGAUAGCGCACCAGUACCGUGAGGGAAAGGUGAAAAGCACCCCGGGAGGGGAGUGAAACAGUACCUGAAACCGUGCGCCCACGAGCAGUCGGAGCACCCUUCGGGGUGUGACGGCGUGCCUUUUGUAGAAUGAGCCAGCGAGUCGCUGGCGCGGGGCGAGGUUAACCGAAAGGGAGCCGGAGCGAAAGCGAGCCUUAACAGGGCGACUUGAGUCCCGCGCCGCGGACGCGAAGCCGGGUGAGCUAUCCGUGGGCAGGCUGAAGCGGGGGUAAGACCCCGUGGAGGGCCGAACGCACGUCGGUUGAAAACGGCGGCGAUGACCUGCGGAUAGGGGUGAAAGGCCAAUCAAACCCGGAGAUAUCUCGUUCUCCCCGAAAUAGCUUUAGGGCUAGCGUCGCGCGUUCACCGCCGGAGGUAGAGCACCGGAUGGACGAGGGGGCUUCGCCGCCUACCGAAUCCAACCGAACUCCGAAUGCCGGCGGCCCAGAGCGCGGCAGUCAGAGCAUGUGGGCUAAGCUGUGUGCUCGAGAGGGAAACAGCCCGGACCGCCCGCUAAGGUCCCCAAGUUCCAGCCGAGUGGCAAAGGAUGUGCGUCCGCCCAGACAACCAGGAUGUUGGCUUAGAAGCAGCCAUACAUUCAAAGAGUGCGUAACAGCUCACUGGUCGAGUGGACAUGCGCCGACAAUACACGGGGCUAAGCUGGACACCGAAGCGGCGGGAUUUUAAUUCAUUAGAAUCGGUAGGGGAGCUUCCCAUGGGCGGAGAAGCCGGAGGGCGACCGACGGUGGAGCGCAUGGGAGUGAGAAUGCUGGCAUGAGUAGCGAGAGACGAGAGAGUAACUCGUCCGCCGUGAACCCGAGGUUUCCUGGGCAAGGCUAAUCCUCCCAGGGUCAGUCGGGGGCUAAGGCGAGGCCGGAAGGCGUAGCCGACGCGCAGCAGGCAGACAUUCCUGCACCGCGCACGCGGCGCUACGACCGACGGGGCGACGGAUGGGGGUGGCUCGGCGGGGUUCUGGACGUCCCCGUGAUGGAGCGCGGCCCGCGGACCAGGGAAAUCCGGUCCGCACGAGGGCGAGGCUCCGGACGAAGCACUUAAGCGAAGCGAGUGAGCCCGAGGUCCCUAGAAAAACCCCUAGGCAGGCGCGUGCGCGCCCGUACCGCAAACCGACACAGGUGGGUGGGUAGAACAUACCGAGGCGAUCGGGUCAACCAUGGUCAAGGAACUCGGCACAAUGGCCCCGUAACUUCGGGAGAAGGGGUGCCCGCGCGUACGUGAACGGACUUGCUCCGGGAGCGGAGGCGGGCCGCAGUGGAGAGGCCCAAGCGACUGUUUACCAAAAACACAGGACUCUGCAGAAGCCGCAAGGCGACGUAUAGGGUCUGACGCCUGCCCGGUGCCGGAAGGUCACGCGGAGGAGUUAGCGCAUCGCGCGAAGCCCCGAAGCCAAGCCCCGGUAAACGGCGGCCGUAACUAUAACGGUCCUAAGGUAGCGAAAUUCCUUGUCGGGUAAGUUCCGACCUGCACGAAUGG